GAGUUUGAUCAUGGCUCAGAUUGAACGCUGGCGGCAUGCCUUACACAUGCAAGUCGAACGGCAGCAUGAUCUAGCUUGCUAGAUUGAUGGCGAGUGGCGAACGGGUGAGUAAUACAUCGGAACGUGCCCUGUAGUGGGGGAUAACUAGUCGAAAGAUUAGCUAAUACCGCAUACGACCUGAGGGUGAAAGUGGGGGACCGCAAGGCCUCAUGCUAUAGGAGCGGCCGAUGUCUGAUUAACUAGUUGGUGGGGUAAAGGCCCACCAAGGCGACGAUCAGUAGCUGGUCUGAGAGGACGAUCAGCCACACUGGGACUGAGACACGGCCCAGACUCCUACGGGAGGCAGCAGUGGGGAAUUUUGGACAAUGGGCGAAAGCCUGAUCCAGCAAUGCCGCGUGUGUGAAG
rnacentral:rRNA from 1 species